AUGUUGGACCCAUUGUAUAAAUA
rnacentral:siRNA from 1 species